rnacentral:rRNA from 1 species
AUUGAACGCUGGCGGCAGGCCUUACACAUGCAAGUCGAGCGGAGUGGCGGACGGGUGAGUAAUGAAUCGGAACCUGCCCGGUAGCGGGGGAUAACUUCCGGAAACGGGCGCUAAUACCGCAUACUAUCAGAUGAGCCUAUGUCGGAUUAGCUAGUUGGGGGGGUAAAGGCCUACCAAGGCGACGAUCCGUAACUGGUUUGAGAGGAGGAUCAGUCACACGGGGACUGAGACACGGCCCAGACUCCUACGGGAGGCAGCAGUGGGGAAGUUUGGAAAAUGGGGGAAACCCUGAUCCAGCCAUGCCGCGUGUGUGAUGAAGGCCUUCGGGUUGUAAAGCACUUUUAGCUGGGAAGCGUUACCAACAGAAUAAGCACCGGCUAACUACGUGCCAGCAGCCGCGGUAAUUC